AUAGAACGCACAGCGAAAGGUGCUUGCACCUUUCAAGUGAGUGGCGAACGGGUGAGUAACACGUGGACAACCUGCCUCAAGGCUGGGGAUAACAUUUGGAAACAGAUGCUAAUACCGAAUAAAACUUAGUGUCGCAUGACACAAAGUUAAAAGGCGCUUCGGCGUCACCUAGAGAUGGAUCCGCGGUGCAUUAGUUAGUUGGUGGGGUAAAGGCCUACCAAGACAAUGAUGCAUAGCCGAGUUGAGAGACUGAUCGGCCACAUUGGGACUGAGACACGGCCCAAACUCCUACGGGAGGCUGCAGUAGGGAAUCUUCCACAAUGGGCGAAAGCCUGAUGGAGCAACGCCGCGUGUGUGAUGAAGGCUUUCGGGUCGUAAAGCACUGUUGUAUGGGAAGAACAGCUAGAAUAGGAAAUGAUUUUAGUUUGACGGUACCAUACCAGAAAGGGACGGCUAAAUACGUGCCAGCAGCCGCGGUAAUACGUAUGUCCCGAGCGUUAUCCGGAUUUAUUGGGCGUAAAGCGAGCGCAGACGGUUUAUUAAGUCUGAUGUGAAAGCCCGGAGCUCAACUCCGGAAUGGCAUUGGAAACUGGUUAACUUGAGUGCAGUAGAGGUAAGUGGAACUCCAUGUGUAGCGGUGGAAUGCGUAGAUAUAUGGAAGAACACCAGUGGCGAAGGCGGCUUACUGGACUGCAACUGACGUUGAGGCUCGAAAGUGUGGGUAGCAAACAGGAUUAGAUACCCUGGUAGUCCACACCGUAAACGAUGAACACUAGGUGUUAGGAGGUUUCCGCCUCUUAGUGCCGAAGCUAACGCAUUAAGUGUUCCGCCUGGGGAGUACGACCGCA
rnacentral:rRNA from 1 species